AAACGUGUGUAAUCACUGAAAGGAGAAUUGAAAAUAGUUUCAAUUCAUAAUCGAUGUAAAAUGGUUUUAAUCGCCCACUACCUCGCUAAAAGGAACCUAAUGGAUCGCACACCAUAAGAGGUGGAGAUUGGAGAUUAAACGGAGAUGAGUAAGAAUGAUUAAAUGGUUUAAUUAUUUAUUUAUGGCAAGGAUUAAUUAAUAUGUUAAUUAAUCAAACGAAUAAGUUCGUUAAAAACCUCGGGAUAGUUUUGGACCUUAAGGCCCAAUGGGCUUCGAACGUCAAGUCCAU
rnacentral:lncRNA from 1 species